rnacentral:misc_RNA from 1 species
AAGUCGUAACAAGGUUUCCGUAGGUGAACCUGCGGAAGGAUCAUUAACGAGUUUUGAAAAGAGUUGUAGCUGGCCUUUAAAAUCAUUAACCAAAUAAAAAUAAAAAAAAAAGGCAUGUGCACACUCUGCUCAUCCACUCUCAUACCCCUGUGCACUUAUUGUAGGCUGGGUCGGAUGACUGGUUGUGAAAGGCCGGUUUGAAAAGCCUUGUCUAUGUUUUAUUACAAACAAGUUCAGUUUAAGAAUGUCAUAUUAUAUUAGCGUGUAACGCAAUAAAUACAACUUUCAGCAACGGAUCUCUUGGCUCUC